GAGGCCCCGCCCCGAGUCCGUCACCGGCGGGAGCCGCGAAACGCCCGGAGAGGCGGCGGGGGCAGAACGGGAUCGGGAAUGGUGCGGGAAUGGCCUGGCUGGUUGUCACACUCGGGGCUGCCGCUGCUCCGGUGCCGCUGCCUCUACCUGUGAACAGGCUGCUCCGCUUGCAUCGACCACCGGUGCCCGGGACGUGUGGAAGUGACGGGUCCUGACACCAGCUCCAUCCCCCGGACAUCCCUGGCUCCAGCCGUUCCUCCAAACACAGCCGGGUGCAGCGGGAGGAGAGGAACAAGCGAGACCAGAGAGCCAAGGGACAGCACAAGAGCUAGAAUCGGCUGCCUCCCCUUCCUGGGACAAGGGAAAAGGGAAGACCGUGCUUGGGGCUCAAAGGUGCACUGACCUUUGUGUGGCCGAAGCUUUGGGAAGGUGGAAAAGGCAAAAGCUGCUUCCUCCCAGGGCUCCUGUUCCCCCCAGCCCUGUCAGGCAGCAGCAAUGAGUAUCUGGGCACUCAAUUUGGCUCACCCAGCAUUAAGGGGGUGGCGAGCCUGUGGUGGCCGAGGGGCUACUCAGGCACGAGCCCUGAGGAUGCAGAGAUGUUCCCUGGAGCCCUGCUGGGCUAUGGGCACAAUGGCCCAGGCCAGCCUGGCAAGGUAGCCCCAGCAGGAGGGACAGUUUAGGCUGGGAUGGACCAGGGGACACUGCUGGCCACUCAGGCAGGUGUCACCUUUCCCGGGAUUGCUGCUUCCUCAGGACUGGGGCUGUGCUGCCACCUGCCCUCUCCAGCCCUUCUCCAGCCCCAGGGAAGGGCUGGCAGGGAUCUCUGCUCCAGCUGCCAGAGCAACCUGAGAAGGAAAAGCCAAACUAUUCUAGGCCUGAGCAUGCCCUUCUCACCCCAACUCUUGUUCAUUUAAAACAAGAAACAGAGCAAGAAGAAUCAGUGUGAAGUACCAAAAAACCUUUAUUUUUUUCCCCCAAACCAUAACAACAUUUGACAUUAUAUUGAUUUCCUCAUAUAUUUGUUAUUUCUCUACAUUAGGAACCAGAUACAGAAAAUACAAACACGAUCUGUUGAAUCAAAGACGGCACAGCAUUCCGUUAGAAAAAGAAACACAAAAAAACUAGAGGAGCAAGAUAGAAAUGGUGAAAAAUAGUCAUUCCCUCCAGCCCAAACUUUCCAAGAAUCAUCAUCAAAAUAGAGCAGUGGAAGUAGCUUCUCUUUCUAAACACACUUCUGCUUUAAGACAAAAGUUAGAUUUAUCUUUAGAUUCUCAAAGUAAAAAAAUGUUAAACUAUCUUUCAAGCAAUUUUGGAAGUUUGCAUAGACCCAUUCCCUUUCCAAAAAUAUCAGCCAUCUCUCUAUAGAAUCUGAUACAAAUCGAGUGCGCCUCAGCCGAAGGUCACCAAGCUCAAUUCACUUUCAAGAAAAUAAAACAUGAUCUCCCCUUCCCCUCCCUCCCCCCACAAAAAUAUGGGCUCUACCAUUAAUCCAUGUGUUUGAGGCAGGUUACCAGGCUCAGCCACAUCCCUUGCUCAGAGCUUCACCCAAAUUCCUUUCCUUUCCCAGGUUUCCAUGCCCGCUGCCUCGGUGGGGGCAGCGCAAUUGAGGGUGCAGGGAGGGGCCCGAUGGACACAGCUCUCAGGAGGGAAGUGGGGGGAAUUCUGCAUUCAUCAAUCCCUCCCACAGCUUUUCAAGGACAAACACCUGCGACCAGGCAGAGUUUGUAGGAACUUAUCCCCAGGGACUGGCCUUGUCCAAAGGGCUCAGACACCAGAGCAAGAACUCAGCUAGAGACCAGCUGGGAUGGGGCAGGAGGGGUGGAGGGGGGUCUGCAGCCCCUGGGUAAGGCAGUGAGGAGGGGAGGGGGAGCCCCUCACCAGGAGGGGUUUCACUGUGGUGCUCUAGCGUACCUGGAGUGAGGUUUUCCCAGAGGUUCCUGGCAGCAGUGCAGAGACCAGCUGCACUGCCACCCGCUUAAAAAGAAACAGCAACGACAAAAUAAAUAAAAAGUCAACCCCUCCUAUUCAUCUGAGAAUGAAAUACUAUUUCUUCAGGCCUCCAACCUGGUUCAGAACCCUCUAAAAACUGAAGCAAAUGUUUAAAAGGGCUUGUUAAACCUUCUGCAGGGGGCAAAGUGAUGAGGGGGGGAGAAAUCACACGUCUGCUGCCCAUCACUCCAAGGGUCAGAACAGCACGAGGCCCCCAUUUAAAGUGCUGACCAUACAAAAGAUGAUGAUGAGGGAGCAACAUCCUUCUCCCCCUUUUCCCAUCACAAUUUCCAACUGAAAUCCAUCUCCUUUCACCAAGUAACGACUAAGCCUAUUGUUUUGGACACUCAGUUUUAUAUUGGUUUAAAAAAAAAAAGAAA